GGAAUCUUCCACAAUGGGCGCAAGCCUGAUGGAGCAACACCGCGUGAGUGAAGAAGGGUUUCGGCUCGUAAAGCUCUGUUGUUAAAGAAGAACACGUAUGAGAGUAACUGUUCAUACGUUGACGGUAUUUAACCAGAAAGUCACAGCUAACUACGUGCCAG
rnacentral:rRNA from 1 species